GAUCAUGGCUCAGGACGAACGCUGGCGGCGUGCCUAACACAUGCAAGUCGAGCGGGAGACAGUGAGUAGCUUGCUAUGAGCUGUUUUAGCGGCGGACGGGUGAGCAACGCGUGAGCAACCUUUCCCAGACAGGGGAAUAACACACCGAAAGGUGUACUAAUACCGCAUAAGACCACGGGAUCACAUGGUUCUGGGGUAAAAGAUUUAUCGGUUUGGGGUGGGCUCGCGUCCGAUUAGGUAGUUGGUGAGGG
rnacentral:rRNA from 1 species